rnacentral:rRNA from 1 species
GACGAACGCUGGCGGCGUGCCUAAUACAUGCAAGUCGAACGCAGGGGGGACGGGUGAGUAACACGUGGGUAACCUCCCAUCAGAGGGGAUAACAUUUGGAAACAGGUGCUAAACCGAUAUGGAUGGCUGGGCCCGCGGUGCAUUAGCUAGUGGGUGAGGUAACGGUUCACCAAGGCCACGAUGCAUAGCCGGUCUGAGAGUGUUAUCGGCCACACUGGUACUGAGACACGGCCCAGACUCCUACGGGAGGCAGCAGGAGGGAAUCUUCGGCAAUGGACGCAAGUCUGACCGAGCAACGCCGCGUGAGUGAAGAAGGUUUUCGGAUCGUAAAUCUCUGUUGUUAGGGAAGCGUUAUCUAACCAGAAAGCCACGGCUAACUACGUGCCAGCAGCCGCGGUAAUAC